GACGGGGGACAUUAGUAAAUCAUAGAGCCUGACUGGAUUGGUUGCUGAGCGAGCAGCCGGUUAAUAGUGUGCAUCGGUCUGUCCCCUUUUUUCCAUGCACCUCUCACUCUUUCUUUCUCCACCUCUUCUUCGCACUUGUGGGAUGGUCUUUGGGAGAUACAUGGCUAUCUGGAGAUGCAUAGAUUCUGAAACGCACUGUGGAAGCUUAAAACCUAGGAUACCCCUCCAGUAAGAACAGAAGUUACCCUGCCUGCAGUGAUUCUUCCCAGUUAUGGAGAAGGGGGAAGGAGAGCAUGUGCUGCAGACGGGGAACGAUGAUGAGGCGGUGGUGGACCUGGGGAAGACUAGCUCCUCCAUUCACACCAACUUUGAGAAAGAGGAGCUAGAGAGUCACAGAGCAGUCUAUGUGGGUGUCCAUGUUCCUCUGGGCAGAGAGACCAAACGGAGGCACCACCGCAGCCACCGCGGCCACAGACACCACCGCAAGAGGAGAGACCGCUCGGACCAUGAAGAUGGACGAGAGUCUCCUUCCUAUGACACCCCGUCCCAGCGUGUCCAGUUCAUCCUGGGGACAGAGGAUGAUGAUGAAGAGCACAUGCCCCACGACCUGUUCACUGAGCUGGACGAGCUGUUCUUCCGGGACGGACACGUCUACGAGUGGAGGGAGACAGCCAGGUGGUUAAAGUUUGAGGAAGACGUGGAGGAUGGAGGGGAGCGUUGGAGUAAGCCCUAUGUAGCCACGCUGUCUCUCCACAGCCUCUUCGAGCUCCGCAGCUGCAUCCUCAACGGCACUGUCAUGUUGGACAUGAGAGCUAACACCAUUGAGGAGAUCGCAGACAUGGUGAUAGACAGCAUGGUGGCGUCAGCUCAGCUGGAGGAGGAGUUGAGGCAGAAGGUGAGGGAGGCCAUGUUGAAGAGACACCACCACCAGAACGAGAAGAAGCUCAGCAACCGCAUCCCUCUGGUGCGCUCCUUCGCUGACAUCGGCAAGAAACAAUCUGACCCACACCUGCUUGAGAGAAACGGCCUCCUGGCAUCCCCCCAGUCAGCUCCUGGGAACUUGGAGAACAGUAAACCGAGUGAGAGCCGCAUCAACGGAGGAAGCAGAGAGAACAGCACUGUGGACUUCAGCAAGGUGGACAUGAACUUCAUGAAGAAGAUCCCACCUGGGGCGGAGGCGUCCAACGUGCUGGUGGGAGAGGUGGAAUUCCUGGAGCGACCAAUCAUAGCAUUCAUCAGGCUGUCCCCCGCCGUGCUGCUCACUGGUCUCACUGAGGUGCCCGUACCCACCAGGUUCCUGUUCCUGCUGCUGGGUCCGUUUGGGAAGGGUCCUCAGUACCACGAGAUCGGCCGCUCCAUCGCCACGCUGAUGACAGACGAGGUCUUCCAUGAUGUAGCGUACAAGGCCAAAGACCGGAACGAUCUGCUGUCGGGGAUAGAUGAGUUUCUGGACCAGGUGACCGUCCUACCCCCAGGAGAGUGGGACCCUACGAUACGAAUCGAGCCCCCCAAGAGUGUCCCAUCUCAGGACAAGAGGAAGAUGCCCUCAUUGCCCAACGGCUCUGCCCAUAAUGAGUCCUUCAAGGAAGACCAGCACCAAGCAGGACCAGAGCUACAGAGGACAGGGAGGAUCUUUGGGGGCCUGGUGAUGGAUGUAAGGAGGAAAGCUCCGUUCCUGUGGAGCGAUAUUAGGGAUGCUCUGAGCCUGCAGUGCCUGGCCUCUGUGCUGUUCCUCUACUGCGCCUGCAUGUCCCCUGUCAUCACUUUCGGAGGCCUGCUGGGCGAGGCCACCAAGGGAAACAUCAGUGCGAUCGAGUCGUUGUUCGGGGCGUCUCUGACGGGCGUGGCCUUCUCCAUGUUUGCGGGCCAGCCACUCACCAUCCUGGGCAGCACCGGACCAGUCCUGGUCUUUGAGAAGAUCCUCUUCAAGUUCUGCAGUGACUACGACCUGUCCUACCUGUCCUUGAGGACCAGCAUCGGCCUGUGGACGGCCUUCCUGUGCCUCGUCCUGGUUGCCACGGACGCCAGCUCCCUGGUCUGUUACAUCACCCGCUUCACGGAGGAAGCCUUCGCAGCGCUCAUCUGCAUCAUCUUCAUCUACGAGGCCCUGGAGAAGCUGGUUCACUUGGGGGAACUCUACCCCAUCAACAUGAACAACAAGCUGGACAACCUCACCUUCUACAUAUGUCAAUGUUCUCCGCCGGUUAACGCCACGCCUGAGAUCCAGCAGGUCUGGAACCACAGCGGGGUCACACCAGAAUCCAUAUCUUGGACCCAACUGGAUGUCAAUGAGUGUUCUAGGCUGCGUGGGGAGUUUAUUGGGCCAGCUUGUGGCCACCAUGGUCCCUACAUCCCUGACGUCCUCUUCUGGUCCGUCAUCCUCUUCUUCACUACCUUCUUCCUCUCCUCCUUCCUCAAGCAGUUCAAGACCAAGCUCUACUUUCCCACCAAGGUACGGUCGACCAUCAGUGACUUCGCGGUCUUCCUGACCAUCAUGAUCAUGGUCCUGGUGGACUACCUGGUGGGCAUUCCCUCCCCCAAACUGAAUGUGCCUGACCGCUUUCAGCCCACGUCUGAGAACCGUGGCUGGCUGAUCUCCCCGCUGGGGACCAACCCCUGGUGGACCAUGCUGGCUGCAGCCAUCCCUGCCCUGCUCUGCACCAUCCUCAUCUUCAUGGACCAGCAGAUCACCGCCGUUAUCAUCAACAGGAAGGAGCACAAACUCAAGAAAGGCUGUGGCUACCACCUGGAUCUUCUGGUGGUGUCUGUGAUGCUGGGGGUGUGCUCCAUCAUGGGCCUGCCCUGGUUGGCCUCUCUCCUGACUGACUGUCUCCCCCCCCCCCCAUCAGAAAGGCUGUGGCUACCACCUGGAUCUUCUGGUGGUGUCUGUGAUGCUGGGGGUGUGCUCCAUCAUGGGCCUGCCCUGGUUUGUAGCGGCCACUGUGCUCUCCAUCUCCCACGUCAACAGUCUGAAGCUGGAGUCAGAGUGCUCGGCCCCCGGGGAACAGCCCAAGUUCCUGGGGAUCAGAGAGCAGAGGUUCACCAGCUUCAUGAUCUUCAUCCUCAUGGGCUGCUCUGUCUUCAUGACCUCGGUGCUCAAGUUCAUCCCUAUGCCAGUCCUCUACGGGGUGUUUCUCUACAUGGGUGUGUCCUCACUCAAAGGCAUCCAGUUCUUUGACCGUAUCAAGCUGUUCUGCAUGCCAGCUAAGCACCAGCCGGACCUGAUCUACCUGCGCUACGUUCCCCUGUGGAAGGUCCAUGUGUUCACCCUGGUGCAGCUCACCUGCCUGGUGCUGCUGUGGGUCAUCAAGGCGUCUGCCGCCGCCGUCGUCUUCCCCAUGAUGGUGUUGGCCCUGGUGUUUAUACGGAAGCUGCUGGACCUAUGUUUCACCAACAGGGAGCUGAGCUGGUUGGACGACCUGAUGCCUGAGAGCAAGAAGAAGAAGGAGGACGACAAGAAGAAGAAAGCCAAGGAGGAGGCCCAGCGCAUGCUGGAUGUGGAAGAGGGCAUAGCACACCCCUGCGACGGGCCGGGCAUCCUCAAGACCCUCAAAGUCAGUUUGGACCCCUCUAUGGUAAACAUUUCUGAUGAAAUGGCCAAAACUGCCAAUUGGAAGUCUGUCUCCAUGAACUCUGACAGUGCCAAAGCUCUGAAGCAUAGUGGCAGCCAGACGAAGGUGUCCUGUGUGAAGAUAAACUUGGAGAAUGACCAGGGGGAGAAGUAUGGGGAUGCUGAGACCUCCUUAUGAAGGAGGGACGGGAGGAGCAGGGAGGGUGCCACUUCAGCCUCUAGCCCACCAGGUGGCGUUGUCCUGUCCUCCCACACAGCAGGGGGCAGUGUCCUUCAUGGCCCUGUCCGUUGCCCUAACAGCUGCUACCAUACCAAUGCCAAGGGGGCACACAAAGACACAACCACUUCUACUUAGCCAUGUUUCUUUAGUUCUUAUUGUGAAAUUAGUCCAAGGGAAAUUUGUCUUUUAAUUUUAUCAUCGUUUUAAGGUGAAAAAACGUUAACUUUAGAUUCAGGUGUGCCUUUUUUAAGGAACCACUUGGUCUUCUUGGAAUGACUUUCAUCAGGCUUUUUACCAACAUAUCCAUAGUCUCUGUGAUAUGGUGUACAGUCUGUCCUCGUAACACUUACUUCGAGGGCAAUGCAUUAUGAAUGCAUGUAGUGGCCUCUAUCGCCCUUAGUGCAUUAUAUUAGAAGAGUUGCUGUAAACAUUUGAAACUUGUCAAGACUGUCCCCAGGUGGUUUCUAGGAAGCAGUAGGCCUAACAGCAGUCCAAGCACCCCGGGUGGCUUGACCACAACGACGGCUACUACUCACAGCACUCUAUCUGGCUCACUCUGAACAAUAGACACUUUCUGUUUGAGAAAGCAGGUGAUGCUCAACAAAAGGUCCAAAUACAUUUGGAGCACAUAUUAGAUUUAAUCGUGCGUGUGUGUGUGUGCACAUGGGUGUGUGUGUACAAGUGUAAGAAACUUAAGAGCAGCUUAAGAUGUCUUUUCACAAUAUCAGUCAUGUGUACGAUGUGCUGUUGAUUCAGAUUAUCAGUCACAGUAGGUUGAAAGACUGCGUAUGUUCUGUCAAAGUGAACAUGACAGACUACAGCAUAGCCCAUAGUUUGCAGAAUAUUUCUUGAAUUAAUUGGCAAACAUCUCUUACUAAUCUUAAACAAUCCCAAAUUGGAAACGGUCUAUAAUAAGAUAACGUUUCAAAAACAAAAUGUUCUCACAUUUCUCGAUUGAGCGGUCUUGUUAUUUUGGAGUAAUGGUGAGGGUAUUGCCUGCAGUGUCCAUACAUACAUAAUGGUGAGGGUAUUGCCUGCAGUGUCCAUACAUACAUAAUGGUGAGGGUAUUGCCUGCAGUGUCCAUACAUACAUAAUGGUGAGGGUAUUGCCUGCAGUGUCCAUACAUACAUAAUGGUGAGGGUAUUGCCUGCAGUGUCCAUACAUACAUAAUGGUGAGGGUAUUGCCUGCAGUGUCCAUACAUACAUAAUGGUGAGGGUAUUGCCUGCAGUGUCCAUACAUACAUAAUGGUGAGGGUAUUGCCUGCAGUGUCCAUACAUACAUAAUGGUGGACUUGAAAGGAAGAAAAUAUGUAUAGAUUAAGUCUAUGGAGGCUUCUGAAACUGAUGCCUUCUUUAGGGCAGGUUUAAAGCUGUUCAAUAGUGUUACUGUACAUGGCUGUGGUAGCCUGGGUUUAAUCUAGUGUAGUGCACCUGCACCAAGGAAGUCUUACCAGAGCUGUAGCCUCCCCUUGGUUAUGAUGACGAGGGGAAACCCACUUUUAUCCAUUUAAACGGUUUACAUCCAAUGGAAUAUUUUCUGUUAUGGGGUAUAUAUUUUAGAUUGUCUAUAUAUAUAUUUUUUAUCAUUAUUAUCUAUAUCAUUACAAAAUGUAAUGCAUUUAAUUUAUUUUGAGUGUGUCAACAUUGCAGAGUUUGGGGGGGAGAAGGGAGCAGUGUCGUUGUUUGUUGCUGGCCGGUAAUUAAUGUUCUUUAUUUCCUGUCUUUAUAUCUGUGCACUUCAGAUACGCCUGCCGCACAACGAGAGGGUUGGGCAGGCUAUAUGUACCUUUUUAUAUACAUGUAUCUAUUUAGAUCAGUCUCAGGAACCAAUGGGCUCAAUGAGGCCCUUGUCUCUCACCGUCUCUGUCAGUCUUUCUUUCUCCCCGUCACUCUCUUUCUGUGUCUUUUGUCUCUCUCUCGGCCUCUCCCUCUCUGUGUUGUCUCUCUCCCUCUUUCUCUCUGUGUUGUCUCCCUCUCUCUGUUGUCUCUCUCCCUCUCUGUGUUCUCUCUCUCUCCCUCUCUGUGUUCUCUCUCCCUCUCUCUGUGUUCUCCCUCUCUGUGUUCUCCCUCUCUCUGUGUUCUCUCUCUCCCUCUCUGUGUUGUCUCUCUCUCCCUCUCUGUGUUCUCUCUCUCUGUGUUUCUCUCUCUCCCUCUCUGUGUUGUCUCUCUCUCCCUCUCUGUGUUCUCUCUCUCUGUGUUGUCUCUCUCUCCCUCUCUGUGUUCUCUCUCUCUCUCUGUGUUGUUCUCUCUCUCUGUGUUGUCUCUCUCUCCCUCUCUGUGUUCUCUCUCUCUCUCUCUGUGUUCUCUCUCUCCCUCUCUGUGUUCUCCCUCUCUCUGUGUUCUCUCUCUCCCUCUCUGUGUUCUCUCUCUCCCUCUGUGUUCUCUCUCUCUGUGUUGUCUCUCUCUCCCUCUCUGUGUUCUCUCUCUCCCUCUCUGUGUUCUCUCUCUCUCUCUCUGUGUUCUCUCUCUCUCUGUGUUGUCUCUCUCUGUGUUGUCUCUUUCUGUGUUGUCUCCCUCUCUCUCUCUGUGUUGUCUCUCUCUCUGUGUUGUCUCUCUCCCUUUCUCUGUCUCUGUGUUGUCUCCCUCUCUCUCUCUGUGUUGUCUCUCUCUCUCUCUCUGUGUU